rnacentral:lncRNA from 1 species
AACUUCUAGAGCGCAUGCGUUUCGCCCACCCAGGCCCGGGCGCGGUUAGGGGUGACUCCCACGAUCCCUAGCGGCUGCAGAGUGGAACAUGGCGGCCUCCUUGCCGCUUGCGUUACCAGAGUCCACCCGGCCUCGUGCUUUCUCCGGGCGCCCGUAGCUGGCGCCGGCAUCCACAAAAAUAGAUCAGACAGAGGAUGAAUAAAGAGGAAGCUCCAGGCUGUGAAGCGUCUAGUCCUUGCUCCCCUCAGAAGCUGGGACAUGUUGGACCAAGGUGGUAAGGAUAGUGAGAGGCCAAAGAUUUAACAAUAUACUGUGAUGCUGGGGCUGGGAGGAGAUUGCACCUUUAUAGCCUGGUGGUGGCAGUCCAGAGUGCAACCCCUAGAGAUGGUAACUUGACAAGACCUCUCAAAAACACUACACACAGCUUUUGAGCCCCUCAUCCCACUUCUGAGAGUAAGUCCUAUGGCAACAUGUGCACACGUGGAAAAUGAAGUCUGUACAAGUUUCCCAGAAGCUGGACAAGCCACGACGGCGCCUUCCAAUAAAAGGGGAACUCCAGAGACGCUAUGAGAAAAGAGGAACAGACAUCUGCAAUAGAUAUCUGCAACUUCCUUUUCAAAAACACCAUCGGCAUUGCUUUCUCAGGAAGCCACUGCCAGCCUAUUGUGAUAGCUGACACUGAGUUCCUGAGAAUUCUCUAAUUAGGAUCCCAGAUUGGAGGGUCAGCCAGUGGUUAACAUAUAAUGGACACAAAACUGAUUUUACUGGAAGACUGAGGGUGGGCACUCACCAUGGUUCUAAGCAUUCAUUACUCAGAAGAUCCAUAAAAACAUUACAGUUCUGUUGUGUAAGAGUUUAGGAAAAAAAGAAAAUCCUGACAAAAAUCCCAACCUAAAAAACAGUGUCAACAUUUGUAAGUAGGAUGGGGAGGCAGAGAUGAAUUGGCAGUGUUAUCACAGCUACUGGACUAUGUGGACUUUAACAAAGUAAGAAACGGGUGGGGGUUGGGUGGUGGUAUCUUAAUAGAGCAGGAGUAGAGACGGAUGUCCUGGGGCAGAAUGGGUACCAAUGCUGCCUGAAGCCUGGAGCUGGGAGCUGAGGACUAAGAGGUAGACAGGAGGGUGGGGACCGGUACCUGCUCCAAGGAACUGGUGCCCCAGAACUGGUGAGCUGGGGUAUGCAUUUAGCUCAUUCGUUUACCAGAAUGCAGUCACCACCUGAUGAAAGAAAUGACUAAUGGCAGGACUUGAACAGUUCUCUAUAAAUGAGUACCUGGGAGAAAAACAGGUCUCCAGGCUCCACAAUACCCAAUAAACACACUGCCUUUAGCCCACUUCAAGCUGCACUUCUUACAUGGAACCCAACCCAACCAACCUCAGAGGUAAGGGUGAGAGCAGGCAAUGAACAGCUAUGAUUCUCCAUUCCCUGGCCAGGCAGGGAGCCUUUCCAUCCACCCUCGUGAGACUGCUUGUAACAGAAAUAAGGAAACCGACUCCAAGGCUCAGUAACCCACCCAAGGUCAGAACCACGGAGUGGCAGGGCCUGUGAGCCACAAAGGAGACUGAAAACCAGAAAGAGCUUCUCUCUGGUCUGUUAUUUUAAGAAAAACAUGCCCAGAGGGGCCACCUGGAAGCAAGGCUGUGUGGCACCCUCACCUUCCUAAUUAAACAACAACUUCCCAGGAGCAACGACAGCAACAACAGCCUGGCCCAGCAGAUGAACUCGAAUCAAUCCAAGCCCUUCCCCUAUACGGGUCAGUUUGGGCACUACUUUACCUGCUGUGAAGUCUACUGGGAUCUUCCAGGAAAGUCCCACCUCAUUAGUAAAAAGAAAAACAAAGACUCGGGAAGAAAGUUCCUGCCCUCCCUGUUGAAUGCUGUGUGAGGAUAAGAUGUCUGGAGCAUGGCAGUCACCCUGUGACUAUCAGAAGGCCAGGCGUACCACAAGGUGGUCAUUCCAGUGCUCUGAAUCAGCCCCAAACCACUUCCCUCAAGACUCAUGUUCUGAGGUGAUUAAAAGUGUGCUUUGAAGGUAAAUCUAGGAUGACAGUCAACAGAUCAGUGAUUGCCAGGAGUCAGGGGUAGAGGGAGGGAAGAACAGAUGGAGCACAGAGAAUUUUUAGGGCAGUGAAAAUGUUCUGUAUGAUACUAUAUAUAAUGGAUACAUGCCAUUAUACACUUGUCCAAAUGCACAGAAUGUACACCACCAAGAGUGAACCCUAAUGUAAACUAUGGACUUUGGGUGAUCAUGAUGUGUCAAUGCAGGUUCGUCAAUUGCAACACACGUACCAUUCUAGUGGGGGGUGUUGAUAACAGGAGGCUAUGCAUGUGUGGGACCAGGGGAUAUAUGGGAAAUCUCUGUACAUGCCUCUCAAUUUUGCUGAGAAUCUGAAACUGCUCUUAAUGAAGUCUUACAAAAAUAAAGAAGUCUGCUUUGCCUUAAAAAAAAAAAAAAAAAAAAAAAAAAAAAAA